rnacentral:rRNA from 1 species
AACGAACGCUGGCGGCAGGCCUAACACAUGCAAGUCGAGCGCCCUUUCGGGGGAGCGGCGGCCGGGUGAGUAACGCGUGGGAAUAUGCCCUUCUCUACGGAAUAGCCUCGGGAAACUGAGAGUAAUACCGUAUACGCCCUAUGGGGGAAAGAUUUAUCGGGGAAGGAUUAGCCCGCGUUGGAUUAGGUAGUUGGUGGGGUAAUGGCCUACCAAGCCGACGAUCCAUAGCUGGUUUGAGAGGAUGAUCAGCCACACUGGGACUGAGACACGGCCCAGACUCCUACGGGAGGCAGCAGUGGGGAAUCUUAGACAAUGGGGGCAACCCUGAUCUAGCCAUGCCGCGUGAGUGAUGAAGGCCUUAGGGUUGUAAAGCUCUUUCAGCUGGGAAGAUAAUGACGGUACCAGCAGAGGAAGCCCCGGCUAACUCCGUG